rnacentral:rRNA from 1 species
GACGUAGGGCGCAAGCGUUGUCCGGAUUUAUUGGGCGUAAAGAGCUCGUAGGCGGCUCGUUGCGUCGGCUGUGAAAACCCGCAGCUCAACUGUGGGCUUGCAGCCGAUACGGGCGGGCUGGAGUUCGGUAGGGGAGACUGGAAUUCCUGGUGUAGCGGUGAAAUGCGCAGAUAUCAGGAGGAACACCGGUGGCGAAGGCGGGUCUCUGGGCCGAUAUUGACGCUGAGGAGCGAAAGCGUGGGGAGCGAACAGG